CAGCCGCCGCGGUAAUACGUAGGGUGCAAGCGUUAAUCGGAAUUACUGGGCGUAAAGCGUGCGCAGGCGGUUUUGUAAGACAGAGGUGAAAUCCCCGGGCUCAACCUGGGAACUGCCUUUGUGACUGCAAGGCUAGAGUACGGCAGAGGGGGAUGGAAUUCCGCGUGUAGCAGUGAAAUGCGUAGAUAUGCGGAGGAACACCGAUGGCGAAGGCAAUCCCCUGGGCCUGUACUGACGCUCAUGCACGAAAGCGUGGGGAGCAAACAGGAUUAGAUACCCCCGUAGUCCCUGUCUCUUAUAC
rnacentral:rRNA from 1 species